rnacentral:lncRNA from 1 species
ACUCAAGUUCCAUCACUUCUGUUAUUUGUUUUCAUGUAAGUGAAAAAUAUAAUGUAACUCAAAUUAUGUUAGAGCUCCACUUCACCUACUCUCGACUUCCUCCUCUAAAGUGCCGAACUCGACUUUCACUACACUCAACAUCCUCUAAAAAAUUUAUUAAACAGUAAAACCUAAACUCUACUUCCUUUAUAAUGGGUUAGAAUUACCUUAUUUAUAAUAAAUUAGGAUUAUCUUUAAAUAAUAAUAAAAAAAUUAAUUAUAUAAUAGAUUAAAUUUUAUAGUGGUAAAUUUACUACUAUAUUUAGGAGAUAAUGAGAUCCACUUACUUACAUCAAAAUAAACAACGGAACUCAGAAAACUAAUUUUACCAGCACCAAGUUACAUCAAAAUAAACAACAGAAGUGAUUGAAUUUAACUUUCAGGCGGUACGAGUUACGUCAAAACAAACAACAAAAAAAUAAUCACACUUCAGGAAAACUCAAACACCACUACACUUGACUUACGUUGAAUCUAUAAAUACGUCAAUCCAAACGCCCCCUUAAUGAAACUCAACAACUGAACAAAGUAAACAAAAAAGUGCUACACAUACACCUUACAUAUGGGGUAUAAAUUUUACACCCACCUAUCAAAGGAUUUAAAACCUCUUUUAGGUUUUUAACAUUAAAAGAAUUAAUAAGACUAAUAAUAAUAAUAUUUAUUUUUAAGGACAAUUGCUUAUAUAUCGCUAAAAAGUUUUUGACUUUCUUAUUUAUCCUUUUUCGAAAGUUAGUAUUAAAAAUACUCUUUUAAUGUUUCAAAUCAUUUCAAAUAUAUCUCUAGAAUUAAAUUCUAUCAAUUAAUUGUUAGAAACAGUGGCUAUGAGAUUUUUAUUUUACCCUUAUAAAUAUACAUUUCUAUCGUUACUAAUUAUUCUUAUUCAUCCUUAAAUUUGAAACAAAAGAAGUAUUUUAACUUUUCGUCUUUUUCAAAUAUAAUUUUCUACCGUCAUCAACUUUUUCUAUUUGUCUCAAGUUAUGGCAAAAAAAGAUAGUUUGACUCAUUUUAUCUCUCUAGAAAUUUAAUUCGAGUUCAAUCCGAGAUAAUUUAACGAGUACUAACAACGGAAUUACUUUUAAAAUAACAGAUAAAUAUACCAAAGGUAUAGUGAAACAAAAAAUAUAAAAAACAUAAAAUAUUUUAAAAUUUUUGAGAGAUAUACUAAAUAUUAUCUGUAAUUUUUAGAUGAAUAAGAUGUAAUAUUUAUAUCCUAUUAUAGAU